rnacentral:rRNA from 1 species
AGCGAACGCUGGCGGCAGGCUUAACACAUGCAAGUCGAGCGGGCGUAGCAAUACGUCAGCGGCAGACGGGUGAGUAACGCGUGGGAACGUACCUUUUGGUUCGGAACAACACAGGGAAACUUGUGCUAAUACCGGAUAAGCCCUUACGGGGAAAGAUUUAUCGCCGAAAGAUCGGCCCGCGUCUGAUUAGCUAGUUGGCGAGGUAACGGCUCACCAAGGCGACGAUCAGUAGCUGGUCUGAGAGGAUGAUCAGCCACAUUGGGACUGAGACACGGCCCAAACUCCUACGGGAGGCAGCAGUGGGGAAUAUUGGACAAUGGGCGCAAGCCUGAUCCAGCCAUGCCGCGUGAGUGAUGAAGGCCCUAGGGUUGUAAAGCUCUUUCACCGAUGAAGAUAAUGACUGUAGUCGGAGAAGAAGCCCCGGCUAACUUCGUGCCAGCAGCCGCAGUAACAC